AUUGAACGCUGGCGGCAAGCCUAACACAUGCAAGUCGAACGAGUGGCGGACGGGUGAGUAAUGUCUGGGAAACUGCCUGAUGGAGGGGGAUAACUACUGGAAACGGUAGCUAAUACCGCAUACCAUCGGAUGUGCCCAGAUGGGAUUAGCUAGUGGGUGGGGUAAAGGCGCACCUAGGCGACGAUCCCUAGCUGGUCUGAGAGGAUGACCAGCCACACUGGAACUGCGACACGGUCCAGCUUCCUACGGUAGGCAGCAGUGGGGAUUAUUGCACAAUGGGCGCAAGCCUGAUGCAGCCAUGCCGCGUGUAUGAAGAAGGCCUUCGGGUGUUAAAGUACUUUCAGCGGGGAGGCGUUACCCGCAGAAGAAGCACCGGCUAACUCCGUGCCAGCAGCCGCGGUAAUAC
rnacentral:rRNA from 1 species